ensembl:snRNA U4 U4 spliceosomal RNA
AGCUUUGCACAGUGGCAGUAUCGUAGCCAAUGAGGUUUAUCCGAGGCGCGAUUAUUGCUAAUAGAAAAAUUAAAACUAAAAUGUUAGGGAGUUCAGAGAUUUAUUACUUCAGGCAAGGAUGUUACUGCUUAUUGGUUUAUUAUUGCCAGAUAAUAAAAGUAACUGCACAUUGCU